AUACCUUUCUCGGCCUUUUGGCUAAGAUCAAGUGUAGUAUCUGUUCUUAUCAGUUUAAUAUCUGAUAUGUGGACCAAUGGUCCACACGAUAUUAAAUUAAUUUGUUGAGGGGGAGGGUCCAAUUCAGUAGCUUGCUAUUGGGAUCUUCAUGUGUAGUCCAUGCAUUACACUACAGCAAGGGCAGGCGCACCCCUA